UACGUAGGGGGCAAGCGUUGUCCGGAAUCAUUGGGCGUAAAGAGCGUGUAGGCGGCUUGGCAAGUCUGACGUGAAAGCCCGCGGCUCAACCGCGGAUUGUCGUUGGAAACUGCCUCGCUAGAGUCCGGAAGAGGAGAGCGGAAUUCCUGGUGUAGCGGUGAAAUGCGCAGAUAUCAGGAGGAACACCGGUGGCGAAGGCGGGUCUCUGGGCCGAAGUGACUGACGCUGGAGGAGCGAAAGCGUGGGGAGCGAACAGGA
rnacentral:rRNA from 1 species